rnacentral:lncRNA from 1 species
GAUCACACCUGAUAUUUGUGUUUAUUUUCAGCGUUAACCUAACCUAACAUAAUUAGAUUCACAUAAUCAAGUUGAUUUUAUUUCCAUUUUGGAAGAAAGAAAUUUACAGAUAUGACAAACAUCUAGAAGAUAGAAUCCUGCGUUCUUAAAGAAAAAAGCUAGUUCCAGAAGUAAGCUACCAAUAAUAAACUAGAGAAUGUAUUACAAGAAAGAACAACGCUAAUACUCAACAUCGCUCAAUUGCUUCAGAUAGAAAAAGAGGAUGAAAGGAUACAACACAAGCGUGCCAGAGAAAAUGAAAGGGCAGAAGCGAGACACAAAAAUUCAUUGAUUUAUUAAAUUUACAAAUUAAAUUAUACAAAGGACAAUUAAAUAAAGAAUAAAAAUGAUACAUGUAUAUUAAUGAUCCUUCUAUUUCCCCAUAAAGCUUGUUACUGACCAGGAGGUAUACUAUAAUAGAUAUAUUACAUCUCAUAGUGCUCACUAUAAUAAUGAGUGAGCCUGCAUAAACGGAACCAUAAUAUACAUUAUAGUUCCAUGUAUGCAGCCUCACUCGUUACUAUAGUGAGUGAUAUGAGAUAUAUUUUAGUAUAGAUCCCCGUGCAUGACAAGCUUAACACAAAAAUUUUUAUAAGGUUAUCAAACAUCUUAACUUCAGUAAAUUCAAUAAUUUAGCUUAUUUCUGGUCUAUACUUAGCAAUUCAUUUUCAAAAUUGUCUUCAUUUUCAUCUCUCUCUAUGUUA